UAGCAACCAAUAUUGCUCUCUCCUUCAGGGUUGACAAACGUAUCACUAUGUACAAAACAACUAUUGUAUAUACACUAAAUGGUCAUGCAAAUCACUGACAAAUGACAUUUUCUUUAUCAUAAUUAUUUGCUUUUUUCCAGCAGUAGCAAUAAAUAUAUCAACAAUUUGCGUUUUCUAAAGCGCUUAAAACAGUUGCAGCCAGGUUAAAUUCAAAACCACCGUGACUUGCAUGAUCAAUUUUUUGCUUUCAGACACUAAAUCGCUUUGAACUGAAGCUGAAAAUGCAAGGUCAUCUCUUAUAGCGCGCAAUGGUUAUGAGUCUACAACAUGCCUACCUUGCUCUUACCACUGCAGCAAUAGUUUGAAUUUCACUAACUUCGCUGUAGUUGUGAACUUGAUUUUCACUUUUUUACUUCAUAAUUUGUUUAGUACUAUAAGUAUUUUUGGUUGGCGUUAUUUUUUUAAAAUUUUUUGUUGCAAUUAUGUCAAUGAGAAAAAACCUUAUGUUCAGUUGUACAGACAGAGUAAGUCUAUUUAUCUUUCUUUUUAUUAUUUGUUUACAGGUAAAUUUAACUGGUUAGCCAGAAGACCUGUUAUAAUGCUGUACUGUUUUUUUAGCAAACUUAUAUGGGCCUGUAUCUUCUUUCCUGUCAAUGCUCAUGCAUUCGUUCGAGAAAAAUAUCAAGUUAAAGGAUGGAAGUGGAUGUAUCCAGCUUACGUUGUUUGUUCUUUAUCUCGUUGGAUAUGGAGGUAGGCC